rnacentral:rRNA from 1 species
AGCGUAGGCGGCGUGGUAAGUCAGAUGUGAAAUCCCGGGGCUCAACCCCGGAACUGCAUCCGAUACUGCCGUGCUAGAGGAUUGGAGAGGUAGCUGGAAUUCUUGGUGUAGCAGUGAAAUGCGUGGAUAUCAAGGGGAACACUCAUGGCGAAAGCGAGCUACUGGACAACUCCUGACGCUGAGGCUCGAAGGCCAGGGUAGCGAAAG